rnacentral:rRNA from 1 species
GAACGCUGGCGGCAGGCUUAACACAUGCAAGUCGAGCGGGGGAAGGUAGCUUGCUACCGGACCUAGCGGCGGACGGGUGAGUAAUGCUUAGGAAUCUGCCUAUUAGUGGGGGACAACAUCUCGAAAGGGAUGCUAAUACCGCAUACGUCCUACGGGAGAAAGCAGGGGAUCUUCGGACCUUGCGCUAAUAGAUGAGCCUAAGUCGGAUUAGCUAGUUGGUGGGGUAAAGGCCUACCAAGGCGACGAUCUGUAGCGGGUCUGAGAGGAUGAUCCGCCACACUGGGACUGAGACACGGCCCAGACUCCUACGGGAGGCAGCAGUGGGGAAUAUUGGACAAUGGGGGGAACCCUGAUCCAGCCAUGCCGCGUGUGUGAAGAAGGCCUUAUGGUUGUAAAGCACUUUAAGCGAGGAGGAGGCUACUUUAGUUAAUACCUAGAGAUAGUGGACGUUACUCGCAGAAUAAGCACCGGCUAACUCUGUGCCAGCAGCCGCGGUAAUACAGAGGGUGCGAGCGUUAAUCGGAUUUACUGGGCGUAAAGCGUGCGUAGGCGGCUUAUUAAGUCGGAUGUGAAAUCCCCGAGCUUAACUUGGGAAUUGCAUUCGAUACUGGUGAGCUAGAGUA